AGAGAUGUGGCUCUGUAGUAGAUCAUCUGCCUUGCAUGCAGAAGGACCCGGGCUCAAUCCCAUGGCAUUUCCA